rnacentral:lncRNA from 1 species
GGGGUAGCCAUGGUAGGGAGCAAAGAGUAAUUCAGGUAACAAGUUCACUGAGUUCAACUUUGGAGGAGAUUUGUGGUCAGAAUCAAACAUACCUGAUUUCAGCAUUCUUCUGAACCCAGUGGAAGCUCAUCUACCAGAUAAUCACCAUCACUCAGCUGGGUCACAAUCUACUAAAAAGGGGGUCAGAGAAGGAAAGACCCAAGGCUAAGGAUUCCGGGGUGAGUUUGGGUGAGUGUGCAUAUUUGUACGUGUGUGUGUGUGACAGAGAAAGAGAGAAAGAGUUUUUGUGUGUGAGUGCCAUUUCAAAACCAAAUAUAAAUUACAUAAAUUUUGAAUUGUACAUCGCUGUGUAUCUCUGGUGUAGUGUGUAGGUGAUCAAGAAUUGACACCACAGUAAGGCCAGCAUUUGAAGUUAGAAGAGGAGCAAAGACCUCCUUUAGAAUCUCCCAACCAGGAUCUAGUGUCGUGCAGUCAGGAGCUUUGGGUUAUUAAAAUGAAAUCAAAA